UUUAUCGAUGUGCAUGAGUAGCUUUGGACCCGUGUCUGCCGGUAGAUCUCCCGUUGUAGUUCGGCUGACUAUCGGUGCUAUGUCCUGUCACUUUUGUAGUUUUUUACUGCUGAUUGAAACCAUGGCUUGCGUGCUAGUACCCGACCUACGGGAAGUAGUGCUCCGAAUAAUUGUUGCCUCAUGGUGGACGCCCUUAGGGUGUGCCACUGUGACUGAAUAGCGUUUGUGGCGUUGCCUCAUACAACAAUCAUAUAAUGUGCCUGUUGAUAUCAUGGCAAUCUCACUCUCGCUUUUGGUUUACGAUGCUGCUCACGAUAAAGGCUCGAGGCCCUUCCGGUUGCCUCGAUCCGACUCAAUGCUCUCUUCGAAAAUGAUGAUUGCCGAGAUAUUUUUGCUUAUAGCUUUCCACGGUUCCGUGGUAGGUUAAGUAAACCUAUGCUCUGGCGGCCCUCAUUGACGAAGAGACAUGCCCGCUCAAAAGCGACAGCCGGCUCGGUUGCUGUGUUUGCCUUUCCACGUAAGUGGAAGCGUAUUGCAACUUCUGAUGUCGGACGUCACCGAGGACGUGCU
rnacentral:misc_RNA from 1 species